AAUAGUGCUUAGAUUUAAAAAAAAAAUUGUAUUUGAUUUCCUUCCUGCUCUAUGCUCUAGGAUGUGAAGGGCAUGUGCGUGCGCAAAGCUAAUUUGCAUCUGUGAAGGGCGUGUGAUUAUCGACAUAGGCAGCGCAGAGCCAUCAUCCCUUUCUUAACCAAGGUCGUCUAUUUUACAGAGCAAGAUGAUAAAACAAAUAUUUUGCCUUUUAUUCAUUUUCUUUGUCUCGAUGGUGAUGGCACAAAGUAGUAACGAUACCACUGCCACCACACCAAAGAGCGGCGCCGAUUUCUUAACCGGAACCAUAGCAGUUCUGAUGACGUCAUUGUUUGUGCUUCUCCGCUCUCUCCAAUGAGGUGUCUUCCUAAAUCAGUGUUACCAUGCACAGCGUUACUAUAUAUAGACUCCAUAAAUAAUAUAUCUAACGAAAUAAAUACUGUAUAAAGGCAAA